UACGUAGGGUGCGAGCGUUGCCCGGAUUUAUUGGGCGUAAAGAGCUCGUAGGUGGUUUGGUAAGUCGGAUGUGAAAUCUCCAGGCUCAACCUGGAGGGGUCAUUCGAUACUGCCAUGACUAGAGGUCGGUAGGGGAGUGUGGAAUUCCUGGUGGAGCGGUGAAAUGCGCAGAUAUCAGGAGGAACACCCGUAGCGAAGGCGGCACUCUGGGCCGAUUCUGACACUGAGGAGCGAAAGCGUGGGGAGCGAACAGG
rnacentral:rRNA from 1 species